AACAUCCCCUCAUGUCCAUCACUGGGCUCUGAUCACCCCGAGACACAGUGCCCCCCCACCAGGACCUUUGACCCCUGGGAUCUGAGGAGCCC